rnacentral:rRNA from 1 species
AUUGAACGCUGGCGGCAUGCCUUACACAUGCAAGUCGAACGGUAACAGGUUAAGCUGACGAGUGGCGAACGGGUGAGUAAUGUAUCGGAACGUGCCCAGUCGUGGGGGAUAACUGCUCGAAAGAGCAGCUAAUACCGCAUACGACCUGAGGGUGAAAGCGGGGGAUCGCAAGACCUCGCGCGAUUGGAGCGGCCGAUAUCAGAUUAGGUAGUUGGUGGGGUAAAGGCUCACCAAGCCAACGAUCUGUAGCUGGUCUGAGAGGACGACCAGCCACACUGGGACUGAGACACGGCCCAGACUCCUACGGGAGGCAGCAGUGGGGAAUUUUGGACAAUGGGCGCAAGCCUGAUCCAGCCAUGCCGCGUGCGGGAAGAAGGCCUUCGGGUUGUAAACCGCUUUUGUCAGGGAAGAAAAGGUUCUGGCUAAUACCUGGGACUCAUGACGGUACCUGAAGAAUAAGCACCGGCUAACUACGUGCCAGCAGCCGCGGUAAUACGUAG